UUAAUUGAAACCAAAAUAGAGGUAAAUUAUUGUUAAUAAUUAAAAUGAUUCGUAAUCCAAUUAAA
rnacentral:tRNA from 1 species